UUUUUUAUCAAAUAAAUAAAUAUAUAUAAAAUUUAAAUGAAAAUAAUGUUAAGGAAUUAUCCGAUCUUUCUUUAAUCUUGAAAACUUAAAAAUUUUUUUAAUCAAAAUUAUUCUCGAUAAUUUUAUCUGCAUUAAGUGUAUUAAAAAACUGAAAUAUAAUAUAUUUUAGCUUUUGAACAAAACUCUCUUUUUAUUUCAAUCGACAAAACAAUUAUGUGAUUUAUUUUUAAAUAGGAAAAAAAUAAAAUCUAUAAUUUAUUUCAAAAUUACUAUUACUAAUUAGGAAUGUGAAUUGAUAUAGAUACGGAAUUUUAUCUAAACUCGAUUUAAAAUGGGAUAAGUUUAAUCAAUGCUGAAUAGGGGAUAGUUUUAGUUAUAGAUACCAAAAAAUAAAAUCCCGUCGUAUGUAAAUUCAGUUAUAUAGUUUUGGUCUAUAUUUAAACCGAAUCUGAACCGAAACCCAAAACCAAAAACAAAACCAAAAUCAGAUAAAAACAUACUAUAUUUAAAAUACAAUUUUUAUAUAUUUUUUAUUAAUUAAUAUAUAUUAAUAAUUUAAUUAACUAUUUAUAUAUUAAAUACUCAAAUUUAGAUUUACAAAAAUUAUUUUGAAAUACCUAUUAGUAUUUCUACUAUUAAAAAGAGAUAAAGGGUAAAAAUGGUAUUUUUAAAAUUUAACUCCGAUUCAAAUGGGCUUUAAUGAAUCUUAACUAGAGGAGGGUAUUUAUGAUAAUUUUUCACAUUUUGGAGGGUAUUUGUGAUAUUAUUAAUUUUGGAAGGGUAUUGAUGAAAUUAAUAGUUUCUAGAGGGGCAUCUAUGAAAUUAUUCCUAUCUAUAUUUAUAUUUAUAUAAAUAUAUAAAUACUCAGUUGGGAUCCACGUGGCACCGAGGGGCGGAGGUGCGGGCGGGUGCAGGCGCAGGCGCCCUGGCACGAGAGGGGUGCUGGCGCGGGUGGGCCCGGUGCAAGUUGGGCCCAGCCGGGGGAGAGGGAAGGAGAAAUUUUUUUUUCCUCUCUCUGAAAUUUUUUUCGCUCUCCGGAAAAAAAGAUUUAUAAUUUUUUUUAAAUCCAAUCUAUUUUUUUUAUUAUAAAAAUUUAAAAUAUAUAAAUAAUUUUUAAAUAUUUUAGACUGUUUGUAUUAAAAAUAAAUUUUAAUUUUAUAAUAUUGAGCAUUUAGAUAUAGAUUGUAGUUUUUUUUUUAAAUACUUCUUAUAUUUUUACUGUAAUAGCUAUUGUUUCAUCUUCAAUUUCCUUAUUUAUAUUUUUUUUUAUUCUUCAAUUCUUUUUUUCGUUGUUUUUUAUUUUAAAAUCUAAUUCAUUAAAUAAAAUUUUAAAUCAUUAACUUUGUAGGUCAUAUAUAUUUAAUUAAGUUUUAAUAUUAAAAUAUUUAUCAUCUAAUAUAAGUUGUGGUGUAUAGAAUGUUAAUUAAUAUAUAUCGUCUUUAGAGCAAGUGGCAAAGAGCUUGGUGGUUGGUAUCUGAGACCCAAAUUCGAAUCCUAGUUGAUUCACAUUUCUAGCUAAGUUUAUUUCUAAAUAAAAUAAAACGAAACAAAUAGCGUGCCACCUAUCUCUCAAAAUAUAUAUAUACAUAUAUCAUGUGCAUGUAAGAUAAUUUUUUUUCUA
rnacentral:lncRNA from 1 species